GUCAAACCCAAGCAGCUGGAGGGGACCAUGGCCAACUGUGAGCGUAGCUUCAUUGCGAUCAAACCAGAUGGGGUCCAGCGGGGUCCUGUGGGAGAGAUUAUCAAGCAUUUUGAGCAGAAGGGAUUCCGCCUUGUUGGUCUGAAAUUCAUGCAAGCUUCUGAAGACCUUCUCAAGGAACACUACAUCAACCUGAAGGACCGUCCAUUCUUUGCUGGCCUGGUGAAAUACAUGCACUCAGGGCCGGUAGUUGCCAUGGUCUGGGAGGGGCUGAACAUGGUGAAGACAGGCUGAGUCAUGCUCGGAGAGACCAAUCCUGUGGACUCCAAGCCUGGGACCAUCCGUGGAGACUUCUGCAUACAAGUCGGCAGGAACAUUAUACACAGCAGCGAUUCCGUGGAGAGUGCAGAGAAGAUCGGCUUAUGGUUUCACCCUGAGGAACCGGUAGAUUUCAAGAGCUGUGCUCAGAACUGGAUCUAUGAAUGACCAGACGGCAGACCACAAUGCUUUUCACAUUCAUUUCCCCUCCUUCCCACUGGCAGAGGACCAGGUCGUAGGAAAUCUAGUUAUUUACAGGAGCUUCUUCAUAAUUUGAAGGGAAACUCUUGGAGCUGUGAGUGCUCCCUGUACAGUGUUACCAUCCCCUACCUCGGAUUAAAAUGCUUCCUCCCAACAGAGGA